rnacentral:rRNA from 1 species
GGACGAACGCUGGCGGCGUGCUUAACACAUGCAAGUCGAACGGAAAGGCCCUGCUUUUGUGGGGUGCUCGAGUGGCGAACGGGUGAGUAACACGUGAGUAACCUGCCCUUGACUUUGGGAUAACUUCAGGAAACUGGGGCUAAUACCGGAUAGGAGCUCCUGCUGCAUGGUGGGGGUUGGAAAGUUUCGGCGGUUGGGGAUGGACUCGCGGCUUAUCAGCUUGUUGGUGGGGUAGUGGCUUACCAAGGCUUUGACGGGUAGCCGGCCUGAGAGGGUGACCGGCCACAUUGGGACUGAGAUACGGCCCAGACUCCUACGGGAGGCAGCAGUGGGGAAUAUUGCACAAUGGGCGGAAGCCUGAUGCCGCAACGCCGCGUGCGGGAUGACGGCCUUCGGGUUGUAAACCGCUUUCGCCUGUGACGAAGCGUGAGUGACGGUAAUGGGUAAAGAAGCACCGGCUAACUACGUG